rnacentral:rRNA from 1 species
UGGGGAAUUUUGCACAAUGGGGGAAACCCUGAUGCAGCGACGCCGCGUGAUUUAGAAGGCCUUCGGGUUGUAAAAAUCUUUUCUAUGGGAAGAAAAUGACAGUACCAUAGGAAUAAGGACCGGCUAAUUACGUGCCAGCAGCCGCGGUAAUACGUAAGGUCCGAGCGUUGUCCGGAAUCAUAGGGCGUAAAGGGUACGUAGGCGGGUAAGCAAGUUAGAAGUGAAAUCCUAUAGCUCAACUAUAGUAAGCUUUUAAAACUGCUCAUCUUGAGGUAUGGAAGGGAAAGUGGAAUUCCUAGUGUAGCGGUGAAAUGCGCAGAUAUUAGGAGGAAUACCGGUGGCGAAGGCGACUUUCUGGCCAUAACCUGACGCUGAGGUACGAAAGCGUGGGUAGCAAACAGG